rnacentral:rRNA from 1 species
AGAGUUUGAUCCUGGCUCAGAACGAACGUUGGCGGCGUGGAUUAGGCAUGCAAGUCGAACGCGAAAGGGGUAGCAAUACCCCGAGUAAAGUGGCGAACGGGUGAGUAACGCGUAGGAAACCUGCCUUCGAGUGGGGGAUAACAUUCCUAACGGGAUGCUAAUACCGCAUGUGACUACGGAGUCGCAUGGCUCUGUAGUGAAAGGUGGCCUCUGUUUACAAGCUACCGCUCAAAGAUGGUCCUGCGUCCCAUUAGCUAGUUGGUGAGGUAACGGCUCACCAAGGCUCCGAUGGGUAGCCGAUCUGAGAGGAUGACCGGCCACACUGGGACUGAGAUACGGCCCAGACUCCUACGGGAGGCAGCAGUCGAGAGGCUUCGGCAAUGGGGGAAACCCUGACCGAGCGACGCCGCGUGGAGGAUGAAGGCCUUUGGGUUGUAAACUCCUGUCAUGAGGGAAGAAACGUCACCGUUCGAAUAGGGCGGUGACUUGACGGUACCUCAAGAGGAAGCUCCGGCUAACUCCGUGCCAGCAGCCGCGGUA